rnacentral:rRNA from 1 species
AUUGAACGCUGGCGGCAGGCCUAACACAUGCAAGUCGAGCGGAUGACGGGAGCUUGCUCCUUGAUUCAGCGGCGGACGGGUGAGUAAUGCCUAGGAAUCUGCCUGGUAGUGGGGGACAACGUUUCGAAAGGAACGCUAAUACCGCAUACGUCCUACGGGAGAAAGCAGGGGACCUUCGGGCCUUGCGCUAUCAGAUGAGCCUAGGUCGGAUGAGCUAGUUGGUGAGGUAAUGGCUCACCAAGGCGACGAUCCGUAACUGGUCUGAGAGGAUGAUCAGUCACACUGGAACUGAGACACGGUCCAGACUCCUACGGGAGGCAGCAGUGGGGAAUAUUGGACAAUGGGCGAAAGCCUGAUCCAGCCAUGCCGCGUGUGUGAAGAAGGUCUUCGGAUUGUAAAGCACUUUAAGUUGGGAGGAAGGGCAGUAAGUUAAUACCUUGCUGUUUUGACGUUACCGACAGAAUAAGCACCGGCUAACUCUGUGCCAGCCGCCGCGGUAACAC